rnacentral:tRNA from 1 species
UGGGCGAUUAGCUCAGCGGGAGAGCACUGCCUUCACACGGCAGGGGUCACUGGUUCAAUCCCAGUAUCGCCCACCAU